CCUACGGGCGGCAGCAGUGAGGAAUAUUGGUCAAUGGCCGCGAGCCUGAACCAGCCAAGUAGCGUGAAGGAAGAAUGAUCUAUGGUUUGUAAACUUCUUUUAUAAGGGAAUAAAGUUAUCCACGUGUGGCUAUUUGUAUGUACUUUAUGAAUAAGCAUCGGCUAACUCCGUGCCAGCAGCCGCGGUAAUACGGAGGAUCCGAGCGUUAUCCGGAUUUAUUGGGUUUAAAGGGGGCGUAGAUGGGUUGUUAAGUCAGUUGUGAAAGUUUGUGGCUCAACCGUAAAAUUGCAGUUGAUACUGGAAGCCGUGAGUGCAGUUGAGGUAGGCGGAAUGCGUGGUGUAGCGGUGAAAUGCAUAGAUAUCACGAAGAACUCCGAUUGCGAAGGCAGCUUACUAAGCUGUCACUGACAUUGAUGCACGAAAGUGUGGGUAUCAAACAGGAUUAGAUACCCGUGUAGUC
rnacentral:rRNA from 1 species